GAUGAACGCUUUCUUCGUGCCUAAUACAUGCAAGUCGAACGGAAAGACGAUGAGCUUGCGCCUCUGACGGUAGCGGCGGACGGGUGAGUGACGCGUGGAUAACCUACCUAUAAGACGGGGAGAACAUCGGGAGACAGGAUAUAAUACCAGAGCAUAUAUUGAACCGCAUGGAGCAAGAGUGAAAGACGGCUUUGCUGUCACAAUUAGAUGAUUCCGCGCCGCAUUAGCUAGUUGGUAAGGUAACGGCUUACCAAGGCAACGAUGCGUAGCUGAGCUGAGAGGGUGAUCGGCCACACUGGAACUGAGACACGGUCCAGACUCCUACGGGAGGCAGCAGUAGGGAAUCUUCCGCAAUGGGCGCAAGCCUGACGCAGCCAUGCCGCGUGAGUGAUGAAGGUCUUCGGAUCGUAAAGCUCUUUUAUUAGGGAAGAAAAGCUGUGUAAUUAUCCCUGCCCGUCUUGACGGUACCUAAUCAGUAAGCCCCGGCUAACUACGUG
rnacentral:rRNA from 1 species